GACGAACGCUGGCGGCGUGCUUAACACAUGCAAGUCGAACGGGAGGAAAAGAGAAGCUUGCUUCUUUUUGAAUCUAGUGGCAAACGGGUGAGUAACACGUAAACAACCUGCCUUCAGGAUGGGACAACAGACGGAACGACUGCUAAUACCGAAUGUGUUCCGGAGACCGCAUGAUUUCCGGAAGAAAGGAUGGCCUCUAUUUAUAAGCUAUCGCCUGAAGAGGGGUUUGCGUCUGAUUAGGCAGUUGGUGAGGUAACGGCCCACCAAACCUACGAUCAGUAGCCGGUCUGAGAGGAUGAACGGCCACACUGGAACUGAGACACGGUCCAGACUCCUACGGGAGGCAGCAGUGGGGAAUCUUCCGCAAUGGACGAAAGUCUGACGGAGCAACGCCGCGUGAGUG
rnacentral:rRNA from 1 species